rnacentral:lncRNA from 1 species
UGAGAGAUGACCAAUAGUCCUUACGUGUGGAAUUUGUGGAAGAAAAUAAAAACAAGCAAAAUGUAGUGUUGGAGUCAAGAUUAUCAAAUGUAUAUUCUCAUUAGAGAAAAUCUAACAAAAUCACUCAAUUCAUAAUACAGCAACCUCCAGACCUGAAUGAGUUUGAUGAGAAAGCAUGGGAAGAAAUGCCAGAUCACUGUGCUCCCUGUGUUGAGACUGAAACAAGAAGGCCUGAAGCAGGGGAACAUGGCUGUGUAACGGGGGCAGAAACACCUGAACCUCCAGGCUAA